GUCGCCUUGACGACCAGGACAAGAUGGCGAGGCUGCCGCCUGGGCUGCCCGGCGGGCUGCUGGGGCCGGAUCCCGGGGCGCUGAGUCCCGCGCAGCUGGAGCAGCUGAGAAACUUUAAGAUUCAGACUCGGAUUGCUAACGAAAAGUACCUGAGGGCCCACAGAGAAGUAGAGCUGCUCAUAAGUGGUUUCUUCAGAGAAAUGUUUUUGAAAAGACCAGACAACAUUCUGGAAUUUGCUGCGGAGUAUUUCACGGAUCCAAGACUUCCCAACAAGAUUCACAUGCAGCUAAUUAAAGACAAGAAAGCAGCUUAAUUAGCGAAAUCAUGAUGCUCAGCUGUUGGGAGAGACCAGCCAGAAUCCAGCCUCCGGAAGCAAAAGUAAGAAGAAUUGGACUGGAAGGACAUCAAGAGAUUAGACAUAGGAAACCCAUUCAAGAUUGACCAUGAAAUGCAAGCCUAGUGGGUGAUUCAGAGAGGUCAUGGGCUUUAUUCUUCCAGAUUUUCCCAAACAAACUGCCCAUCCAUUGAUUUUCAGUUGAGAGGCAGGGGAGCGGAUCAGAUGGCCUCAUGAGGUCUCUCCGGGCCUCAGAAGCGUGGGGGUCCUUCCUGUUUGUGUCCUACCUCCACAAUCUGCUUGUGGCCUCCACAAUCCACUGGCUCCUCUGUAUAAAGAAUUUCUCACCUGUGUGUCAUAUGUCAACAUUACCAUGGCAACGGAAGCACAGCACAGACCAACUCGAGGGCUGUAUUUUUUAUUUCGCUUGUCUCUGCCUGCCUUGUUCCCACUGCCAUCACGUGCAGUAGUAGAAAGGGCAACUAAACAGGGCCUUUAAAGAACUGUUAAACUGCACAGGACGGGAUGGAAUGGGAACCUGAGCAUUAUUUAAAAUGCUUUCACAUUCACACUCUGGCAGUUAUGGUACUGACAAUGAGAUAUCCUUGUUUAGAAAGUCCAAACGAAGCAAAAGAAACACAUGUCUGCGAAGGGCCUCUGAUGUGAAGUGUUCUAUUAGACAUUCAGAACCUUGCUGGAAGAAGAGACUUGCAAGGAUGGAGAGAGAGAGCAAAUGCGUUUCAGGGUGCUCAAGGGCACAAUUUAACCCUGGGAGAGCACCAUGGCUCAUUCCUGGGGAUUUCCUGGUGGGGGAAAUGCAUUUCUUUAAAUAUAUAUACAUACAGCUGAUGGUGGCGCAGUGGUGAAUCGCAGCAUUCAGUGAGGCCAACCCACAUGGUAGACCUCAUGAGUGCACUGGCAGACGUCUGCCCAAGAUCUAGAGCUGGCCGAAGCUGGAGGGGGAUCUUGGUGUUAAGAUCCUGUUGGGGGUACUAUUUCUCUCUGUGUCUCUGUCUUUCUAGCUCAUA